UACGUAGGGUCCGAGCGUUGUCCGGAAUUAUUGGGCGUAAAGAGCUCGUAGGCGGUUUGUCGCGUCUGCUGUGAAAUCCCGAGGCUCAACCUCGGGCCUGCAGUGGGUACGGGCAGGCUGGAGUGCGGUAGGGGAGAAUGGAAUUCCUGGUGUAGCGGUGGAAUGCGCAGAUAUCAGGAGGAACACCGAUGGCGAAGGCAGUUCUCUGGGCCGUAACUGACGCUGAGGAGCGAAAGCGUGGGGAGCGAACAGG
rnacentral:rRNA from 1 species